AUGAACGUUGGCGGCGUGGAUUAGGCAUGCAAGUCGAGCGAGAACCGAGGAAGCUUGCUUCCGAGGGGACAGCGGCGAAAGGGAGAGUAACGCGUAGAUACGUACCUUAGGGUUCGGGAUAGCCUCGGGAAACUGUGGGUAAUACCGAAUAAUGUCUCCGGACCAAAGAUUUAUCGCCCUAAGAGCGGUCUGCGUCCUACUAGUUUGUUGGUGGGGUAAUGGCCUACCAAGACGACGAUGGGUACCGGGCGUGAGAGCGUGAUCCGGCUCACUGGGACUGAGACACUGCCCAGACACCUACGGGUGGCUGCAGUCGAGAAUCUUCCGCAAUGGACGAAAGUCUGACGGAGCGACGCCGCGUGCGGGAUGAAGGCCUUCGGGUUGUAAACCGCUGUCAGAGGGGGAAAUUUUGACCGAUCCUCAGAGGAAGCGCAGGCU
rnacentral:rRNA from 1 species